UGUUAAUCCGAAUUUGGGGAUAAUACUUGACUAGAGUGUAAUUAUGGAAAGGCCAAAGCUAAACACAUCGACAUCUAUAGAUCCGUCAACUUAGUAAGAUUUUUUAUUUUUACGUGGUGAGAGAUGUUAAUCGGAAUUUGGGGAUAAUACUUGACUGGAGUGUAAUUAUGGAAAGGCCAAAGCCAAACACAUCGACAUCUAUAGAUCCGUCAACUUAUAUCUGGCAAGCAUACCAGAGGCAUUGAAUUACAAAAUCAUGAAUUCCUUCAGGGCAUUCCUGUUUGCCCCAAAACAACUCCUUUUCGGAGUCCUAUGACCAACUGGGAAUUUGUCAUUUCUGGAGUGUUGGAUUCACAGGAUCCCCCUGAUGCAAUAUCUGGCAACAUGACUACAGUAUUAUGUGUGUAUUCAAUAUUGUGUAUGAAAUUUGCAUGGAUAGUGCAUCCUCGCAAUCAUCUUCUUCUGGCAUGCCAUGCUUCAAAUGAGUCAGUGCAACUCUAUCAGCUCUCACGUUGGCUAAAGCAUCAGCGGUACUUGUCUCAGAAAGAAGAAAAUGUUUCUUCAUGACUUAAAGUUCCUUGAAUAACGUAUAUGCAAGGUCCCAAAUCGUUGCUUGUUUGCUUAUUUUUUGACAAUAGAGUUGGUUAUCAUUGUGGCAUUGAUUGUACAAGUCUGUGCAAGAGUACCUAAUGGCUGAAACGACGCAAAAUGUUUGACUGAUAGCGGAGCACCAGUAUAUGGAGUGGUGAAGGAGAAUCACAUGAUAUUCUUGAAUUAACAAUUCACUUAUGAUUAGCUUGAGAUAUACUUAGUUUUAUAAUUUGCUAUCAUUAUACAUGCAUGUUUUCUGGAUUACUUACGCUUCAGUUUAGUUCUGCUGCUAAAAAAAUGUAUUUGAAAGAGAACAUCUUUUCCCCCCUUGAACUUAUUCUCCCAACUCAGUUUAA